UUAUAUAUGUGGCUGAAACCCUAAAUCUUUAAACUAAAAAAAAUAAAAUAAAGCCUAAAAACUAAUAAAAAAGUUGUAGUAGCUGCACUUCUACCUAACGCCCAAAAACACAUAAAUAAGUCCCAAAAUACAUAAAUCUGACUAAAAUAAUUAAAUAAAACUAUUCAUACAUGUCCUAGAUAAAAAAAAACACACUAAAUUUGCGUAGAAACCCGUCAAUUCUGUCCAAAUAUUUCUUUAUCAUAUUCUAUGCAAACUUAGAUCAAAUUAAGCCACUUCCCAUCUUCUUGUAACCCCAAUUUAUUGAUUGUAUCUCCAUAUUUAGCUUAUUGUGCAACUGUUUCGUCAAUCAACUCUUGCAUCUUCUUACUCUAGUUCUUGUGAUUGGAGCU
rnacentral:misc_RNA from 1 species